ACCCAAAUAGGAACGCAAGAAGCAGAAGACGAAGAAGAAGAAGAAAGGCAGGGUGUGAAACAAGAACGUCGUGGUCGCUCUUAAAUCUUCUUCUCCGUCUGAUUUUCUUUCGACAUCGAGUUUGCUGCUACUUAAGUGAUGGCUGGGCAGGUUGAAAUUUAUGACAUUGCUUGGCAUAUCAACUCCAAGCUAUCUAAGACAAGGUGAGUCCGAAUAAAAUUUGGGGAAACUCAACCUCAAUCUUCCUCUUCCUCGUUGCCAACGGAUCACACAAUAAAACUCAGAUGUUGUGACGGGUUGGGGUAAAGAAUUAGGCCAAGUACACGACUAAUAUACUAUUUUGGAGUCUAUUUAUUUGGCUACUUGAAUUUGUAAUAUUUUCAUUGUAUCUUGAGAUUGUAUUUAUAAAAAAAAAAAAACAUAAUUACUUAAGAUUUUAGAUUUAUAAUUAUUGGUUAUGUAGAUUGAAUGUAUUGAACAAUACUUUCAAUUACAUGAGUGAAGUUUAUGUUGGCUUUGAUGAGGAUAUAGUACCAUUGAGAAUAAGCUUUUAAAGUAAAUUUGACUGUUAUAUCAUA